rnacentral:rRNA from 1 species
CCUACGGGUGGCAGCAGUCGAGAAUCAUUCACAAUGGGGGAAACCCUGAUGGUGCGACGCCGCGUUGGGGAAUGAAGGUCUUCGGAUUGUAAACUCCUGUCAUGUGGGAGCAAAUUAAAAAGAUAGUACCACAAGAGGAAGAGACGGCUAACUCUGUGCCAGCAGCCGCGGUAAUACAGAGGUCUCAAGCGUUGUUCGGAAUCACUGGGCGUAAGGCGUGCGGAGGCUGUUUCGUAAGUCGUGUGUGAAAGGCGCGGGCUCAACCCGCGGACGGCACAUGAUACUGCGAGACUAGAGUAAUGGAGGGGGAACCGGAAUUCUCGGUGUAGCAGUGAAAUGCGUAGAUAUCGAGAGGAACACUCGUGGCGAAGGCGGGUUCCUGGACAUUAACUGACGCUGAGGCACGAAGGCCAGGGGAGCGAAAGGGAUUAGAUACCCCAGUAGUC